GCCGUGCAGAAGCUGCGUGUGUUUGUGUUGUGAACGGUGUCACGAUGACCAGGCCUACUAAAGGAAGAUAUGUCGUAUGUGCAUCAAUCUUUGAAGAAGUUUGGAUUAUUUUCGUGGGAGAAACGGAGAGACACGGUACAGCUCUGGGAUGACGUCGUGAAGUGGACUGCAGCAGCAGUAGGCGGAGCUUUAGGAAUCGAAUCGUUUUACUUCCGGACGCUCCCACCCCGCAGACUGUCAUCCAAGGACAAGGCCAACAGAACAAACAACCACAGAAGGAGCGAUGCGCCAAGACAGGAGGGGAAGAGACGGGGAUUAACAUGACACCAGAAGAAGAUCCACCAUGGGGACCUUUUCUGUUGGAGACAGGGGUGUUGGCUCUUUGUUGUCUGGAGGGCUGAUGACCACAGAAUCAGGGACCGGGGAGUGAGCGGGUUUGGCUGAAAACCCCUGAGCGAUGUCGUCAAAGGUUCUGCCUUUCGUCUCAGGAACUCGCAGGUAAGUGAAAACGAAGAAGAGGAUGAGAAGGACCAUAAAGAUGAGGAAGACGUAAGGACCACAAAGUUCCUAAAAAGGGAAGGGAUACGUUUCAUAUUGAGAGUUUAAAUGUUUCUGUUGGAAUUCCAUCUGGAAAUGGGAAAAACAAACCUCUAGCUUGGGGAAACCCAGCCCGACUAGGAAGUUGGCGGUCCAGUUAGAGCAGCCGGCGACGGCCAUGGCGGCGGGUCGAGGACCCUGGGAGAAAAGCUCGGCCACGAUGAACCACGGGAUGGGACCUGGACCCAUCUCAAAACUGGCGACAAAGGCGAAGACGGCCACAAUUGCCAGAUAACUCAGAGACUGGUUCGUCUUCUGCUCAGAAAAUGACAGGAAUGAAGAAGAGAUUAUACUUUAUAACAGAAAGGAAAGCUUUUGGUGGAUUUAUAUCAGGUGUGGGCAAACUUUUUGACCUGUGAGCCACAAAAUUUGACAGAAGGGCUGAACUUGGAGCGUUUUGGUUUUUCAUUUCAUGAAAGAAAGAAAUAACAUGUAAUCUGGAGAAAAAUAUGCUUUUUAUAUUUUGAAACAGAACAUUUUAGAGUUUUUAUUUAAAAAUUGUGACUUAAGUUUCCAUUUUAGUGCCAUUCAUGGAUUGAUGUCAAUAAAGAAAAAUUUUGUGUGGUGUUGAAAUGAUUGGAAAAAGGCCAUCUGACUCUGAAAAUGCAAAGAAAAAAAAAA